GAUAGCCUUCUCUGCCUCCCGUUGCUAACGCUUCGGACCCCUCAUCUGAAAUGCGUCGUUUGUAACGAUGAUGAAACAUACCUACAACAAAUUACCAAAGCGAUACUUGGUGAUUUGCAACAAUAAUAUGUUCUUGCGAAAUAAUUAUUGACUAUCAGUCGUUUUCGCGCUUUAGCGGUUGGAAAGUUCUGAAAAAGCGCAAAAGACCAGGAACUUCAGAAGACUUUGCGACACAGACACAGUCGCUUUGCGUUCAACUGUUCAAGCCGGGAGUCCGGUCGAGCUUGAAAGUGUAUAUGCAAUACAUUUUAGACUUCUCUCUCGACUCUGGGAUUUGUGCGCUUGGGAAGCUUGAUUUAAAAUAAACAUUGUUCUUGGUUAUGUUUUUUCGUGGUGGGCACCUUCAUGCGCUAAGGAAAUGGUAUUUCUUUAACAUAACCCUGUUUUUAUUUUUGACAAUGGAGAACAAAUGAGAGGGGCAUUUCCCGGGAUUAAUUGACAGCACAUCGACAGAAUGCGGGAGAGAGACCUACGGAGCGUGUGCAGAAGGGUGCUGCUGUUGGCUGUCUGUGUGGUGUCCCUCUGGGGGCAGCUGACUCUGGCGUCCUCACACAGAAGUCACAUAGUACAUGUCAAAGCAGGAACCUGUGAAGUGAUCGCUGCCCACCGCUGCUGCAACAAGAACAAGAUCGAGGAGAGAUCACAGACGGUCAAAUGCUCCUGCUUCCCCGGACAGGUUGCCGGGACAACAAGGGCGGCCCCGUCUUGCGUGGAUGCAUCCAUAGUUGCUCAGAAGUGGUGGUGCCAGAUGCACCCAUGUAUGGAUGGCGAGGAGUGUAAAGUCUUGCCUGAUCUGAAAGGCUGGAGCUGCAGUACGGGAAACAAAGUAAAGACGACGAAGGUGGGUGCAUAAUUUUUCGAGCUCCAGUGAAGGCGGUGGAAUGAGAUCUUUGAUGACUCUUUCAGCUGCCACAAAGCAGCACAGAGACAAGACAGAGACACGUCACACGAUAGUGCUGUGUCGUGGAUCUGAAGGCAUGGCAACUGUCAUCUCUUCCUUGACAGAAACCUUAAGGACUUCUUGGAUGUGAGGACUAUGUUUUGAAGGAUUGUGGGAAGGAACUUGGAAUAGUAGGGGGGAUUUAAAAAAGAAAGAAAAUGAAAAAUGGACAUUCCAUUGAAUGGAUGCAGAGCAGAGACUUAACUUGAAGAUCCCAUAGAACCACCUAUCCAGACUACUGGACUACUGAUUAGAUCAACUUCCUAGACGUUAUUGUACCAACCACCAAAUUCCUGUAGGAGAUUCAAACCUGCAAGAUAUUUAUUCAGUGAAAAGACAAACUGUGGAUUACGCAAGCAAGAUAAACCUUAAUACGAAUCAUGUGACGUGACAUUUUCAAAUCCUUCUCCUUUUUUUGCCACAUGGAGCUCAGUGACUCCAAAACAACAUGUCUGUGUUCGAGAACAAUUUAGAUCAUAAGCAUUUCCAUUCCUUUUAAGCCUUAUGAAGCAGACAUCUCUUCCUUUUAAGGUUUUUUGAUUUACAAAAAAAAAAUAUGUAUUACGUGUUUGGUUUUAGUAAUUCUGUUGGACUAUCAGGUCUGCUUUUGAUGACUUGAGACAUCAAAGGACAUGCUACAGUACUUAUGAGUAUGUUGCAGUGUUUGAAUUUAGGCACCAUGGUUUCACCAAGCCAAUUGAAAUGACAUAAGCUGAGCUCCAACUGUUUUAAUAUCUGUUUUUAAAAGCCUGGUGACCAACAUUGAGUAAAAGUGUCAGUAUUAUCUCAAUAAAACCUAUUUCAAGAGGAUA